rnacentral:tRNA from 1 species
UCCAUGGCUCAGUGGUAGAGCAUCUUCUUUGCAUGCAGAGAGUCCCAGGUUCAAUUCCUGCCAUUUCCAGCUAAA